rnacentral:rRNA from 1 species
GUCUUUUUGAGUUAUUUUUAAAGUCUGACCUGCCCACUGAAUUUUUAAAUGGCCGCAGUAUUCUAACUGUGCAAAGGUAGCAUAAUCAUUAGUCUUUUAAUUGAAGGCUGGUAUGAACGGUUGGACGAAGUAUAAGCUGUUUCAUAUAAAAUUAUAUUAGAAUUUUAUAUUUUAGUUAAAAAGCUAAAAUAUUAUUAAAAGACGAGAAGACCCUAUAAAUCUUUAUAUUUAAUAUUAUUCAAAUUUUUUUGAUUAAUUUUAUUUUUAUAAUAUUAAAUAUUUUGUUGGGGUGAUAUUAAAAUUUAAUAAACUUUUAAUUUUGAAUUAGAACAUUAAUUUAUGAAUAGUUGAUCCAUUAUUAAUGAUUAUAAGAUUAAGUUACUUUAGGGAUAACAGCGUAAUUUUUUUUGAGAGUUCAUAUCGACAAAAAAGUUUGCGACCUCGAUGUUGGAUUAAGAUAUAUAUUUAGGUGUAGCCGUUUAAAUAUUAAGUCUGUUCGACUUUUAAAUUCUU